UUGAAAGGGAAACGAUUGAAGUCAGUCGUAUCGACGAGAAAUCAACUCUUCGAGUGCGAACUUGUGGGCGUGCGUGAGCUUCGGUCUCGCUGUUUGCAACGUUUGAGCUUUUUGGGUGUACUUUUUCGUAUGAUAGGCCAACAUCAGUUUCGAACACCAUAAAAUGACCGGCGGAAUGCAGCUUCGAUCUUGUAUUGAAGUGUUAUAGCUUCUGGUAGAUGUGGUGAUCGGGACUGAGGAUUGCAACGAAUACCCUUCGGGUUAUCCGUCUGACCUCUGAAGGUUACUUAGGUGCCGAAAGCUUGCUUACGGUUAUUUAAGUUGACAGUCAAAAGGCUAGAACGUGAUUAUAUUCGUUAAGGAUGUUGACGUA
rnacentral:rRNA from 1 species